rnacentral:rRNA from 1 species
GUGUCAGCCGCCGCGGUAAUACGUAGGGGGCGAGCGUUGUCCGGAUUUAUUGGGCGUAAAGAGCUCGUAGGCGGUUUGGCAAGUCGGGUGUGAAAACUCCGGGCUCAACUCGGAGACGCCACUCGAUACUGCCAUGACUCGAGUCCGGUAGGGGAGUGCGGAAUUCCUGGUGUAGCGGUGAAAUGCGCAGAUAUCAGGAGGAACACCGGUGGCGAAGGCGGCACUCUGGGCCGGUACUGACGCUGAGGAGCGAAAGCGUGGGGAGCGAACAGGAUUAGAAACCCCCGUAGUCC